UUCCAGUUUACUGUCCACCGACUUGGGCAAGUACUUGUGACGAAUGUAAAAAUGCAUAUGGUACACCGGUCGCCAACGCAAAAUGCGCGGCAUUAAAGACGUACCUGACCUGUCUGGAGGGAUCAGCGAAGGGUGAAGCCGGGUGUCCACUUGCAGCUGCUGACGCUCAGGUCAUACAGACAGAUUUUGAAGCAGAUUCCUGUACAUUUACCGACACCUGCAUUUGUCAGAAAGAUUUCUGGAAAACUGACCAGAGCGCUUCUGGGGAAGCAGAUACUUGCAGUGAUAUCCAGACCUACAUCACGUGCUUGAAGGGAAAGACAG